AUUGAACGCUGGCGGCAGGCCUAACACAUGCAAGUCGAACGAGUGGCGGACGGGUGAGUAACGUCUGGGAAACUGCCUGAUGGAGGGGGAAAACUACUGGAAACGGUAGCAAAUACCGCAUACCAUCGGAUGUGCCCAGAGGGGAUUAGCUAGUAGGUGGGGUAAAGGCUCACCUAGGCGACGAUCCCUAGCUGAUCUGAGAGGAUGACCGGCCACACUGGAACUGAGACACGGUCCAGACUCCUACGGGAGGCAGCAGUGGGGAAUAUUGCACAAUGGGCGCAAGCCUGAUGCAGCAAUGCCGCGUGUAUGAGGAAGGCCUUCGGGUUGUAAAGUACUUUCAGCGGGGAGGCGUUACCCACAGAGAAAGCACCGGCUAACUCCGUGCCAGCAGCCGCGGUAAUUC
rnacentral:rRNA from 1 species